GUCUCGGCAGCGGUGGCCGUAGCUCCAUCGCAUUUUAUGUUUCUGGCGAGAAGGGAACGGAGUUUUCAUCAGGUAGAUUGGUUUUUGUGCGGCCGUCCUCCACCGUUUCCUCCAGGACAGCACCUAGUCGUGGCCGGAGGAGUCUCAGAGCUGUCAGAAAGAAUAAGACUGAUUUUAUGGGAAAAUUAAGCAGAUGCUCCAGUUUGAGAAACCUGGAUCUGCGAUCUGUUUGUGGUCUCUAUGAAUAAAGAAAAGCAAAUAGAAUCUUAUCAGAUAAGUGCUUUUAUAAGUCUAAAUAUAUUCUUUGGAAUCUCUAAAGCAAAACUUUUAAACUUUUUUUUUUUUUUUUUUUUUUUUAGGUACCAGCAUCAAGAUGAUUUAUGGUAAUAAGGUACUCAGUCUUUGCUUAAAAUAAAUUUUACGUUUAUCAAAGUAAAAUUUACCAGCUUUUUUUCCUAAAGAGGCUAGUCAUAUCUCAUCAGUGGUUACAAAGUAUCCUUACAAUUGAACCUACAUUUGUUAAUCCUGUUCAGUGUGUAUGAAAAUCACUUGGUGGCCGGGCAUGGUGGCUCACGCCUGUAAUCCCAGCACUUUGGGAGGCCAAGGCGGGCAGAUCACAAGGUCAGGAGUUCGAGACCAGCCUGGCUAAUAUAGUGAAACCCCAUUUCUACUAAAAAUGCAAACAUUAGUCAGGCAUGGUGGCAGGUGCCUGUAGUCCCAGCUACUUGGGAGGCUGAGGCAGGAGACUCUCUUCAACCCGUGAGGCAGAGGUUGCAGUGAGUCGAGAUCAUGUCACUGCACUUCAGCUUAAGCAACAGAGCGAGACUCCAUCUCAAAAAAAGAAAAGCACGUCACUCGAUGUUCUUUCUUUCAUAAGAGUUGAAGAACUAGGUAUAUCUGCUUAUAUUAUGGCAUCUAUAGUAGCUUAGCUGCUCAUAUUUGGGUCUCUUUAGAACCAGUGUCUUUCAAAGAGGGUUUUAACUAUGCUGGUGUAAAUUUUAAGAAUAGAUACAUUCAAAGAAGAAUUCAACAUUCAUGUGACAUUCAUACUUUGGAACUUUGGGAAAGUAUAGGAAUGACCAUAGAUUGGCUUAGGGAUAGUCAAUUUACCUGUCUGUAAAUGGAUCCAAUUUAGUAUUGUUCCUGUAUUUUUCUAAGACCAACACUUGUGUCAUUCACAGUUAAAUAUAUGAGUUGUGGCCAGGCCCGGUGGCUCAUGCCUGUAAUUUCAGCAUUUUAGGAGGCUGAGGUGAACAGAUUGCUCAAGUCCAGGAGUUCAAGACCAGCCUGGGCAACAUAGUGAGAUGCGGUCUCUACAAAAAAUUUUUAAAAGUUAGCCAAGCAUGGUGGUGCUUGCCUGUGGUCCCAGCUACUUGGGAGGCUGAGGUGGGAGGAUUGCUUGAGCCAUAUGCUCUAAUAUAUUUUAAAAUACAUAUUUUAAAUAUAUUUUGAGUGGUAAAAUGUAGCAGAUAAUGUUACAUAAAAGAAGCCAUGGUAAUGACAUGACAUUACUGGUUUUGAGUUGUUUGUGUAGUAGUUAGCUAUUAAUACUCAGGUAUAAUGAUUUGCUAUUUAAACUACACAAAUGCUCAAAGUCCAGCGAUACCCUGCACCCAAAUUCAGUGGCUAGAUUACCUUCUUAGGAAAGCACAACACUUCAAUGGAGUGACACUGGCAUGAGUCCACUAGAGGGUGUGUAUACAUGGCCUGAGUUCAAAUUGUUCCUGCUGUGAGUACUGCUUUUCAGCUUCAAGUUAUUCUUAUCGGCCACAGUACUGUUUAUUCCACUUAGUAACAGUUCUGUUUACAGAGCACUUUAACAUAAAUUCUGAUUUUUAACAUGAAAGCUGUCUGAUGUUGGUAUUUUUAUUUUAAUCUUUAGAGAUCAAGAAAUUUUUUUAGUGACAGAAUAGGGACUUUAUUGAUCCUUAAAUCCGCCCCUCACCACAAUAAAGGAAAAAAGCAAAAA
rnacentral:lncRNA from 10 species